GUCAAUAUGAGAAGCUACAGACUGAUAGGAGGAACCAAAGAGCUCUGUAAAGAUCCAGAUCCUGGAUUCUGAUGCCAACUGGACCAGCCUGGCGAGCUAAACCAUACAUCGAAUUGAGAGAAACAUCACAUCCUGUCAACUCCUUCCAGUCUGGAACAAGGUAUUCAAGCCCAAAGUCACACUUUCACCUUCACUCUGGACUGGACCAAUUGGAUAUUUUUCCAUCAUCUCUCUUACCUCCACCAAGGAGCUGAACUGUUAAGUGUUUUAGAUAAAGGAAAAAAAAAAAAAUCAUAUUUCAUGGACUAUUUGAAAAACUUGUUUGUAUAUAUUAUUGUAAAUGUUGUUUAAUACAUUCACUAAUUUAGUUAUUUAGUUGUGUGUGUUUUUACAAAUUGCCACUCCCUCCAGCAGUCGAACCAAUGAUUUUUCUGAUCUGAUUUAUUAUUAAUUAUUAAUUAUUAUUAAAGAACUGACAGACUUUUUAUUACUCAAAAAUACAACAUCUAGAAUUCAACAACACAGGUCUCAAUUAUAUCAAUUCUGUGUGGAAAAUCAGAAAGAUCCAUUUGGAUAGAGCUGAUUUUUUUCCAUUCAUUAUGCGUUUCACAUUCAUAAAAGAUGUAUGAUAGGUUUAUUUUUUUAAAAAAACAAUACAAUAUGGUAAGGGUGGCAAACUUGUAAUUUUUU